rnacentral:rRNA from 1 species
CCCUUAGAUGUUCUGGGCCGCACGCGUGCUACACUGAUGCAUUCAACGAGUCUAAAACCUGCUCUGAUAGGGGUGGGUAAUCUUUUGAAUGUGCAUCGUGAUUGGGAUAGAUGAUUGCAAUUUUUCAUCUUCAACGAGGAAUGCCUAGUAAACGCAAGUCAUCAGCUUGCAUUGAUUACGUCCCUGCCCUUUGUACACACCGCCCGUCGCUCCUACCGAUCGAAGAGUUAGGUGAAUUGUUUUGAUCGAUAAGAUUUGACUAUGGUCAACUCUCGUUGUGAAAUUCUGUGAAUCUGACUGUUUAGAGGAAGGAAAAGUCGUAACA